rnacentral:rRNA from 1 species
CCAUCAUUCAGUUGGGCGACUCUAGCGAGACUGCCGGUAAUAAACCGGAGGAAGGUGGGGAGUGACGUCAAUACAUCAUGCCCCUUAUGACCUGGGCUACACACGUGCUACAAUGGUUGGUACAACGAGUUGCGAGUCGGUAACGGCGAGCUAAUCUCUUAAAGCCAAUCUCAGUUCGGAUUGUAGGCUGCAACUCGCCUACAUGAAGUCGGAAUCGCUAGUAAUCGCGGAUCAGCACGCCGCGGUGAAUACGUUCCCGGGCCUU